CAAAGUACAGGAAAGGACUACUCAGUUGAGUAAAUAUGAACAAAAUCUAAUAGCGACAUUGCCCUGGUAUGGCCUUUGCAGAACCAUCCCAAAUUUUCUAAUGUGCAACAAAUAAGAGUUGUAACAGAUGUGAAAACCAAAAAAAGAACAAUGAUCUCUCCUCACUAAUGCACUACACCACCACCUUGUAAGUCCUAAUACAUAUAGCAAUAUCUUAUUUCAUUGUUCCUUUUAAAGUGUUUCAGGAUUUUUUUUAAAUGGCUACCAGUAUCAGUUCAGUCACCCUAGUGGUGGCUAUAUAGAUACGCAGCACAAAAGCAUCCUAACCAGCAAUUAGACGAUAAUAAUUAUUGGCACCCAUUCUUUGUAUUUAACCUAGCACACUCAUUUAUAACACCAUGCUUAACUUUUGCAGGAAUCACAAAGUUAGACAACCAUCUUGCACCUCCAUAUAAUCUAUGCGUGUAUGUUCUCUUGUGAUCAUAUACUCUUAUAAAGCUAAACCCCACUAGAUGAAUUCUCUCUUCAUGCAAGAUGUCCACAGACCCACUAAAUGUUCUAUCCCUUCAUGCAAGGUGUCCACAUCAUUUCCCACUAAGUCCAUGUCAUCCCAUAUUAAUUAAUUACAAAAAAUGACCAUGUCAUCUAUAUCAUAUGGAAUACUUUAAAUCUUUAAUCUAUUAACAUACAAGUCAUGUACAUACACUAUUUGUUUCAUUACCAAUUCCUCUAUAAUGUAACCAAAUAUUAGUUUUUCUUCUAUAAGCUCAGCAAUUUUUUACUAGAUCUAAUACAAUAAAAUACAUGCAAGUCAAAUUCAUAUAUAUGUAUACAUACAUAAUAUACUGAAUACCAUAUAGUAAUGCUAUGUAUAUAAUGAUUUAUUUUUAAGAAAAUCCCGCAGCAACGCGCAGGGAAUUCACCUAGUUUUAUAUAUGCACAAGUGCUCCCACAUAGACCACAAAUUUGCAGCCCGAUUCAUGAUAGGUCAAAAUGAGACAAAUUGUACUCCAUCAAUGCCCAGUUACUCAUAAGUACAAGGAACGUGCAUGCUUGCUUAUGACAAUUGCAUGCCCAUCAGGUCAUAGAAAUUGAUUGUAUGGUUCACGUAAGAUCAGUAACCCAAUAAAAAUAUGUAACAAGAAUCAAGCAUUAAACCAUUAAGAUACAGUCCUAUAACAACUUUAGGGGCAAAAAAGACAUACAAUACCAAUAAUAUAUUAUUGAGAUAACCGUGGUAAUAGUAAAAAUGCUAAAACAAAAAAUUUAACCUAACUGAUACUAACCUCAUAGGGAUUGAGACGUAGUCCAGACUUCAUUUGGUCUUUCAACUCAUUUGUUUCCUCCUGUACUUUGUAGAUUGGGAAAUUCAGAGUGAAGUUGAAAGAUGCAUAGGGUUUCUGAAGAAGAAAUGCAGCCUGUGGAGGGAUAAUGGUAAUUCCUCC
rnacentral:lncRNA from 1 species